ensembl:snRNA U6 U6 spliceosomal RNA
AUGUUCCCUUUGGCAGUAGGCAUAUGAAAACUGGAAUGAUACAGAGAUUCCCAUGGCCUCUGCACAAGGGUAACAUCAAAAUUUAUGAAGCAUUGCAUACUUCA